AUCUCAAAGCUCACUCUGUGCAGAAUCUCUGAGAAGUCUAAUAUAAACUGAAUGAGGAUGAUGUGCAGACCAGGCCUGGGCCACAGACACUGGGCAUAUGUGUUGGAUUCUCAAUUCAGGACUGAGGAAAAUCAAACACAAAGAUGAUAUAUGUAAGUAAAAGCCAAAAAGGCACAUUAAAAAUGAUUUUGGAGCUUAUUAAUCUGGAAUUCAGGCAGUAAACUAAAGUUGGUGUGUCUCUUAGCUUUGAAAAGAAUGUUUAUAGCCAAACCAGAAAUGUAAGUAAGUAUUUAUCUGCUUCAUCUAAAAAAUAUUUCAUAAGAAUUUAUAAAACCAUGUUGGAAAGGAAGAAUAAAGCUGUGUGUAUCAAUUUGUAUUACGUGAAGGUCUUGGGAAAAAUGUGUGUCAAUUGGAUAAUUAAGAUAAUUAGAAAAGCAUAAUACUACUUUAAAUUCCUUUUUAUGCAUUUAAUUAGUAACUCCUUAUUGAAAGUAAGCAAAUGUGUUGCAUGGUUUUAUAAAAAGUUUCAUUCAUUUUAACCAAAGUUACGUAGCCCAUUUAAGGUGUCGAUAAAAUGUUAAUACAAUUUCUAUUUAAGAUUUUAAAUUUAAGAAAACAGUCACUGUUAACUACAUGCAAAGAUUCUUUUAUGUUUAUCUUAAAAAGGUUAAAAAUCUAUAGCAAAUUCUCAGCUUUAAUUUACAUAGAAGAAGGUAGACAUACAUGACACCUUUUCCCCAAAUGAUCUUGAAAUUGGUUGACAUUAUUGCCUCAUUUCAUGUAAUGUAAUUAUGAGACGUAGGGUAUUUUCAUUGUUCUGUUUCAGAUUUUCUUUGUAUUCCCCAAAUAUGUUUAGGUGUUUAUGAUUUGUAACAAAUGUUUAUGUAUAAAAAACAAAAAGUAUAUUUUGAUUAGAAUGCUAGCACAGUAUACUUUCAAAAUUAAUUCACAGUUGAUGCAUACAAGUUUUUCAUUCUGUAAACAUGGUCUCCCCAAAUAAUCUACUUUUUUAAAUCUGAUACAGACAUAUACCACAAAAAAAAAAAGAAAGAAACAAGCCAGGUGCAGCAGUUUGCACCUGUAAUCCCAGUUACUUGGGAGGCUGAGACAGGAAGAUCACCUGAGACCAGGAGUUUGAGUCCAGCCUGGGCAACAUAGCAAGAUCCUCUCUAAAAAACAAAACAAAAACAAACAAAAAAUAAAACAAAGCUAAAUGAGUAGAAAAAGAUUUCAGGCAAUAACAUCAGCGCCUAGAAGCGCACCCAAAACCAUACAUGCACUGAAAGAAUGAUUUGAAAUACCAGGUAUAAUGUUCUUAUACUGACAAAAAAACAAAAAACCUGUUAAUGGCCAUGGUCUCAGGCGUUGUGUUUUGAACCUUCAAUUCUGUACUUAUUUACAUGUUAGUGCACAUUCUGAGCGAAUGAAUAAACAUUUACUUGAACAGCAAUAUGUAUUACUAUUGUGAAAAUAAUUACUGAAAUCAAUGAAAUGUGGCACAUGUGUAUAUUUUAAAUGACAGUCAUAAAGAAUAAGCAUAUGGAUGGGCAUAAUCCUAUCACUUAGGAAGGCCGAGGCGGGCGCAUCACCUGAGGUCAGGAGUUCCAGACCAGCCUGGCCAACAUGGUGAAACUCCAUCUCUACUAAAAAUUUAAAAAUUAGCCAGGUGUGGUGCGGGGUGCCUAUAAUCCCAGCGGAAGAAUGGCUCAAACCCAGAAGGCAGAGGUUGCAGUGAGCCAAGAUUGGGAGGGGGAGGGGGAGGGAGGGAGAGGGGAGGGGAAAAGGAAAGGAAAGGAAAGAAAAAGAAAAGAAAGAAGAGAAAAGAAAAGAAGGAAGGAAGGAAAACAAAAGAAAAGUAAAAAGUGGGAAGCUUAUUGAAAGAGCACCAUUUUUUCCAGGCAGCUAUUUACUCUACGCUUAUAUAGACUGACUAAAAUACUCAUCUCACUCUACUUCAAAACUAUGACAAGAGUGCAAUAAAAUUAAGAGGUCAAAAUAAAAUCAUCCCUGAGUGUUCCGUGGCUAAGUAGACGGGGGCAUGAGAAACUGCCUUACUUCAGAGUUUGCUCAGAAUGGGGCCACCAAGCUCCCAAUUCAAAAUCUAUCCUGUCUGUGUCCCCAACUCUCCAUUCCCCUUAUCCCAUUCCACUUUACUUUCUUCCAUAGACUUAUCGCCUUCUAACAACUGUACAAGUGAUUUUAUCAUUUCUUACUAAUUUAUUAUAAAUAUGGUUUUGGUCCAUCUUCUCCCAUUAGAACAUAAAUGGCACAAGGGCAAAAAUGUUUGUGUGCUCAGAACAGUGCCUGGCAUAGCUGGUACACCGUAAAACUCAGUUGAAUGAACAGAUUUGUGGUUUAUGCCCAGAAAUGAAGUCUGAAAAUAAAUAUUUAAGAUUGGCCAACGGCAUAAAAAGCCAACUGUGACUCCAGUGAAGAUCACAUUUACCUUUUACAUACAAGGGUUAUAAUUUUAAAUCCAUCACAUUCUCAGGAAUUUCAUUAUGACUUUCAGUUUUACAGUUAUCUAUAUAAAAUCCUCCAGAGCCAACUCUAAUUCUACAAGCCUUCCAUCAAAGUGCAACAAAAGAUAUGAGAAUUCUAAUAAACACACUAACACAUUUAGUUUUGAGCACUUACUUUGCACUCUGCUUUAUGUGGGAGGCUUUGUGUUAUGCCACAGUUUUAUGAAAAAAUAGUGACAGUCUUAUAAUAAAUGCCUGUUUAUUCAAAUUACCUCUGCAAGCAGUCUUUGGGCAGCACAUAAGAUUCAGCACAAAGGAGAGCAGAAUAGUACUGAUGCUCAAGCUAAAAAUGUGAAAUAUACAGAAAGAUUUAUUAUUAGUUUCUCUUGUACCUCCCAGCCAGACAGAACAAGUCGCAAAUUGUCUGAAUAUCCACAAGAUGAAUUUUUGCUCUUGUUUUGGCUUAAACGUGAAAAGUGUUUUAGUUGCUUUUUAACACCUAAGUCUUCUCCCUGCUCCCUCCCUCACCCACACACACAUUAUUUGACUUUAUUACUUUACUUUUCAAAAAGUUGGGUUUCACUGAAGAUAAGACUUGUCAUGUAGGAAAAUGUAUUAAAAGCCUGACAUUUGGUUUCAACAUACUUUCUAGAAAAUGCUUUUAAAUGCAGAAGGAAAUUUAACAGAAACUGUCAUUGAGAUGUUUUGGUGGCUAAAAUGAGGCUUAAGAAGAAUACAUUUUCAAAAUGAAGAGAAAAUUAUAAUACUUCUGAUCACAGCUCAAAGUCCUCCAUUAUUGUAUUUUUGCCAUGGUAACAACUUGGUCUAUUAUUAUUUCUUGAUCAUUAAAUAUAAGAAUAAAAACCAUAUAGCAUUAUGAUAAUAUAGAAAAAUAAUAUUUUGUAUUUUCUCAACAAUAUUUAUGAAACGGUUUCAAAGCAAGUGUCACUUUUCCCAAUGGCUUUGGAAACACUGGGCAAAAAAUUAUUCUCUUUUUUUUUUUUUUGAGACAGAGUCUUGCUCUGUCACUCAGUGGCACAGUCUCGGCUCAGUGCAACCUCCAACUCCCAGGUUCAAGUGAUUCUCCUGCCUCAGACUCCUAAAUACCUGGGACUACAGGUGACUGCCAACACAUCUGGCUAAUUUUUGUAUUUUUAGUAGAGACGGGUUUCACCAUGUUGGCCAGGCUGGUCUUGAAUUCCUGACCUCAGGUGAUCCACCUGCCUCAGCCUCCCAAAAAGUGCUGGGAUUACAGGCAUGAGCCACUGCACCCAGCCAGAAAUUAUUUCCAAGGAGGACUAUGACACUUAUACUUUUUCCAUCUUCCUACAUAAAUACACAUUGUAGGAGCCAAGGAAAUAAAUUCCUAUGUAUACAACGUUUCUAUAAUCAUAAACUAAACAGUAAACAGUUAAUUCAGGAAUAACCCAGAAUUUCCAAAAUUUGUGUCCAUGGCUUCAUUACCUAUUUCAGAUGAUAAACUUCUAGAUAAUCUAAUAAGUGUUUUAACACUGAGGUUCAAAACCAGUAGAAGCCUACUGAUAUUUGAACAUUUCAUGUUUAUCUUAUUAUGUUUAGUUAAUAUGUAAGUCCUCCUCCUCCUCUUCCUUCUUCUUCCCCUUCUUCUCCUUCUCCUCCUCCUCCUUCUCUCCUUCUCCUCCUUCCUCCUCCUUCCUUAUCCUUCCUCCUCCUCCUCCUUCUUCUUUUAGACUCUGUUGCCCAGCCCAGAAUGUGCAGUGGUAUAACCACAGCUCUCUGUAAUCUCUAAUUCACUGACUCAUGCAAUCCUCUCAUCUCAGCUUCCCAAGUAGCUGGGACUACAGGCACACACCACCUUGCCUGGCUAAUUUUAUUUUAUUUUGUUUUGUUUUUUAUAAAGAUGGAGUCUCACUAUGUUGCCCAGACUGGGCUUGAACUCCUGGCCUCCAGCACUCUCCCUGCCUCAGCCUCCCUCAGCGCUGGGAAUUCAGGUGUGAGUCACUGCGCUCAGUCUCUUUUUUUAUUUUUAGAGACGAGGUUUCACUGUAUCUAGCUGGUCUUGAGCUCCUGGGCUCAAGUGAUCCUUCUGCCUCAGUCUCCCGAACAGCUGAGACCACAGGCAUGCACCACUAUGCUGGGCAAUAAAUAUUUCUUAUUAAAACCAUACUAGGUGCAUGAAUUGGCCUGCAUCUUUGCACAGAUUAUUUUGUUUAACCCUCAAAACAAACCUAGAAAGUAGGUGUUUUUAUUAUCUCAAAUUUUCAGAUGAAUAACUGAAGCCCAGAGAAAAUUUGAAUUGUUCCCGUGUCAUGUGACUACUGAAGGGCAUCACAGGACUGGAAGGCAGCCAUCUUGUCCCAGAGGCUCAUCUCUCAUCUUCUAUAUUAUCCUGCCUCACAGGAUAUAAAGAGAUGGGGAUUUCUCCACGUAACAGGCUCUAAGCUUCUGAUACUUCCAAUGUGCCAUACACAUAAGCUGAAAGGGUUUCUGAGUAAGGAAUACAAAGAAGAAAGCAAAUAAUAGGGAAUACUUCUGAAGGACAGUUACAUAAAACCGCCUUGGCCAUCACCAGAUCCCACUGUACAGUGUCGUGCUGUACACAGGCCACAGUGGGGUAGAGGUGGAAUGUUCUGUUAAUGACACCAGGGGGCUGAAAUUUCCAAGCCUCCAGCUGUACAGGCAUUCUUGAUUCUGGAAAGUUUCUAGAUCUUUUCUUUAGUAGAACUAUUACUAAGAAGUUUGCAUUAAUAUACCAUGCUUACAUGAUUUUCUUCCUCUUUUUUUUUUUUUUUUUUUUUUGAGAUGGAGCUUCGCUCUUGUUCCCCAAGCUGAAGUGCACUGGCAUGAUCUCAGCUCACCGCAACCUCUGCCUCCUGGGUUCAAGUGAGUCUCCUGCCUCAGCCUCCCGAGUAGCUGGGAUUACAGGCGCCCGACACCACACCUGGCUAAUUUUUGUAUUUUUAGUAGAGACAGGGUUUCACCAUGUUGGCCAGGCUGGUCUCGAACUCCUGACCUCAAGUGAUCUGCCUGCCUCGGCCUCCCAGAGUGCUGGGAUUACAGGCAUCAGCCACCGCACCUGGCCUUUACUCUAUUUUUUAUAUAGAGACACAGGAAAUACAAUUCGCCUGAAGAGAAAAUGUGAUCUAACAUGACAAAAAGAAUAAAAUGAAUAUUCUCCAUUAAGUCUGUUCUGUUAUAAUCCAAUUGUCACAGAUUUAAGAAAUACUGCCUUAUACCAGCAAUUGCUCCAAAAUAGGAAAAGAACGUGUUAGGGGCUAAAGAGUUUCACAUAAAGUUAAUUUUCCUAGAGGAAUUUCAGACUAAAGGCUAAUAAUCAUAACAAAUCUGUUGAUCAAAACAGACAAGCCAAAACCUGAAAUAUUGCUGAGCAAAUCCUGAACAGCAGAAAGAUUAAGAGGAAACCAAAAGUUUCUAAGCCAUCAUUAUAAGGCAUACAUGAGAAAGCACAAAACUGAAAUACAAUGCCAAGAAAAGUAGAAAAUCAAAAUAAAUGGCAGCCAAUUCACAAUCACUAACCAAAGAAGGCAAUGGCAACUGAACCCAUUCAAACAGAGCAACAAGGCUUCUCCCUGUGUGCACAGCACCAGACCUCACAGCAUCUGCAUCUGAACCAGCAGCAAUAGGGGAAAAGCAAAAUGUACCCUAAUUAAUCAGGCCAGCAGCAACAGCAUCAUCUGGGAGCUUGUUAGAAAUGCAGGCUCUCUGACCCCACCUCAGGCUACCAGAUUAGAAACUGCAUCUUAACAAGACCUCCAGGUGACCAGAAUGCAUGUUAAAUCUGACAAGCCCUGGAAUAGGGUCUGGAGGUCAGAGGAGAAGGGCAGGAGCUCCUCCCUCUGUAUAUUCUCCAAGACUACCUCUAUCUAUGGCAAUCAAAAAACUAUUGAGAGACAAUCUCUGAACUCUGAAGGCAGUAGACAGAUUAUGAAUAUAACCUUUCGUGGUAAGUGGAAGACUUAUCCCAGGUUGACCAUGGGAAAUGUGAACAAAUUUGAGAGGGAAAGACCAGGAAAAUCAGCACUUUAGGAAUUUAUUGAAAAAUUUUAAGGAGCAGGGCAGUGAAAUAGUAAUGACAGGUGCAGUAAGAAACCCUGCCUAGACAGUGUGCAGAAUUAGCGUGUAGGAAAGAGAGAGGUGAGCCCACCAAGCCUAUUGAACUGACCUAGGGAGACCUACAUUGGAAACUCAAGUUGUAGACGUGGGCAGGAUUCAAGUGAACAUAAACGCUUUCACUAGACUCACAUCUAAACUUUCACAAAGCAAGGAGGUAUCUGUCAGGAAAAUGAAUGAACAGUCCUUUAAUCAAGGAGAUUUUUUAAAAAGUAAGAUAUUUAGAUCCAGCACAGUGUCAAGUACUGCCCUAAUUUUAAGAUUGGAAGCCAUAUUCUACAGUAAGAUAAGAAGUAGGGUUCUGGUGUCCACCUGCUGGGGUCUGAAUCGGUUCUGUAACUUAAUGCUUCAGGAUCUUAGACAAGUUACCUACUUCUCUCUGUGCUUCAGUUUCUUCAUCUGUAAAACAGGGAAUAAUAAGAGUAUUUACCAUGUAGUCAUGAUGAGGACUGAAGGAAUACACUCAUAGCUCUUAGUUACUGUUAUUAUAUAGCAUGGAGGAAGGACAGGACCCUCUUAAAAACAAGUUAAAAUUUAAAAACUUGCUUGAGACUGUUUGAAAGGAGUUGGGAACAGCAGAGGGUAGUGAAACAUGACAGUUAGAUCUUAGUAGCAGAGAAACCUAAGAAGUUCAAACAGAUAUUUUGGUUGUCAUUGAAGCAAUGCAAUUAAUUAUUUACUUAAGGCCUGGAAAUCUAUAGAGAAUGAGGAAACACUCAUUGGCAGAAGCACCUAUCAAAGGCAAUAUAAACGUUCACUGACUGUGCCACUUGGGAGCAUCAGUAUUUAGCAUCUCCAGUUUAGGACUAUGUCGAGGGAAUAUCCCUGUUGGAAGACAAAGGGGAAAUCUCUGAGAAUCAGGAAUCAAACUUAAGGAAUUUCAAACAGGAGACAGAAACAGCAGUCAUUGCAAUAGGAUUGAUAUCACAGGGCUAGAAAAAAAAGGCUUUAGGAUUCUGCUGGGAAUUAAAAAAUAAAGUGAGAAAAGGGAGGGGACCAACCCAAAUACCCAUCAAUAAUACACUGGAUAAAGACAAUGUGGCACAUAUACACCAUGGAAUACUAUGCAGCCAUAAAAAAGGAUGAGUUCAUGUCCUUUGCAGAGACAUGGAUGAAGUUGGAAACCAUCAUUCUCAGCAAACUAACACAGGAACAGAAAACCAAACACCGCAUGUUCUCACUUAUAAGUGGAAGUUGAACAAUGAGAACACAUGGACACAGAGAGGGGAACAUCACACAUCAGGGCCUGCGGGGUGGGGGCAAGGGGAGGGAGAGCAUUAGGACAAAUACCUAAUACAUGCAGGGCUUAAAACCUAGAUGACGGGUUGAUGGGUGCAGCAAACCACCAUAUGGCACAUGUAUACCUAUGUAACAAACCUGCAUAUUCUGUACAUGUAUCCCAGAAUUUAAAGGAAAGUAAAGAAAGAAAGAAGAGAAAACAAUGAAAGAAAAAAAGCAAAGCACUUGGCCCCAAAACAGAGUCCACAUUCAAUUCAGAAUUCGGGUACCAGGAACCCAAAGGCCAAAGGGGAAACAGGGCAACUGAAGUGCAUACAAUUAAUCUCUUUACUGAUGAUUUCAGCCAGAUGAAUUUUAGUGCAAUCAGUGAUCACGGAUCAGGACAAUUAGCAUUCAGACAGGAGAAGCGAAAAUACCUCAGGUCAUUCUAUGAUUUUUGGCUGACAAUAGAAUGUGGUGAUAUAUAAUUCUGGGAGCAUUAUUUUGCCUCAAAAGGUAGCUGGAAUGAUGCUGUGAUAUUCUUUUGUCCUGACGACCGUUUCAACUGCUGACCAGUAGGGCUGGGGUUCCAUUACACAGUUUUGAGGAGGCUGAUUAAGGCACACCCAUGAAGAAAGGCCAAGUUGUGUCAGAGGAGUUUAAAGCUUCAGAGAGUUCCAGAUCCACUAUAUCGGGGAAAGCCCACCAGAGUCUAUCCCCCGCUGAAUACAGCCCAAACCUCUGGACAGCGCACAAAAGGCAACAACCUAGGGACUCUGAAAGGCAAACAAAACCAGGCAGAGUGUAGAUGGAGUCAAAUCUGGAGAGGUGGCCUCCAAGAUAAUGAAGUUUCCCAUUUUAUUUUUCCCUCUAGCUAUAGUCUCGAUGUUUGUCCCCCCAAAUUGCGUGUUGAAAUUUGAUCCCAGCAUUGGAAGUGGGGCCCAAGGAGAGGUGUUUGGGUCAUAAGAGCAGAUCCCUCAUGAAUAGAUUAAUGCCCUCCCUGGCGUGAGGCAGUGAGUGAGUUUUCACUCUAUUUGUCCCCCAAGAAAGCUGGUUGUUAAAAACAGCCUGACAUCCCACCACUCCUGCUUCCUCUCUCUCCACGUGAUCUCUGCACACACAGGAUUCCCUUCGCCUUCCACAAGUCAAAGCAGCAUGAGGCCCUCGCCAGAUGCCCAAACUUCCAGCUAUUAGAACCAUCAGCCAAACAAAUCAUUUUUCUUUAUGAAUUACCCAAUCUCAGGUAUUCCUUUACAGCAACACACAACAGACUAACACAUGCCUUUUUUUUUCUUUCUUUCUUUUUUUAAUUAGAGAAUCUUGCUCUGUUGCCCCGGCUGGAGUACCGUGAUGCAAUCUCAGCUCACUGCAACCUCUGCCUCCCAGGUUCAAGCAAUUCUUGUGCCUCAGCUUCCCAAGAAGCUGGGACUACAGGCGCCUGCCACUACACCUGACUAAUUUUUAUACUAUUAGUAGAGACAGGGUCUUGCCAUGUUGGGCAGGCUGGUCUUGAACUCCUGACCUCAAGUGAUCCUCCUGGCUUAGCCUCCCAAAGCGCUGGGAUUACAGGCAUGAGCCACUGCGCCCAGCCUCAAUGCCAUUUUAUUACAUGUCUUUCCCCUUGGCUGAGGAGAAGAGGCAACAGGGACAGAAGAGAUGUUGCUGUGAUCUGUGCUGGUGAAGGAGGCAGCACAGAAGGGACAGUGAGGUGGGAGAGGAGCAGGAGGUCUCAGGUAGCCCCAUUGAGCUGGGAAAUGCAUGUUCUCUCAGCACACCUCUAUAAGGAUGAGAAGCAGGGCACUGUAAGCUAUAAAUAAAUUCUUCCUCCUCCUCCUUGAGGAGGCUCAGUAUAAAUGAAUUAGGAGAUGUGGACAUUAUUAAUAAAGGAAAUUUUGAAUUUCUUUUGAAGUAUGUGAAUAUGUGUUUCAAAAUAAUGCAAACAAUCUUAAUAUGUAAUGAUGCUAGUGUUCACUUCCAGGACCUACAGAUGUGAGAAAUUGCAUCAUUUCCCAUGAGUCACCCACCAUUUCUCAAUGAACAGCAUGGGUUGUAACCUUUCAAAGGACUCCAUCUUACUAAGAUGGGGUAAUUCUCAGGUUCUCCAUUGAUUCUCAUUUCCAUAAGUAUCAUCACGAGUUUAUAAAAGAACAAUUAACAAGAGUGAUAUGGUUUGGCUCUGUGUCCCCACCCAAGUCUCAUGUUGAACUGUAAUUCUCAAUGCUGGGGGAGGGACCUGGUGGGAGGUAGCUAGAUCACAGAGGUAGAUUUCUCCCAUGAUAUUCCCACGAUAAUGAGUUCUCAGGAGAUCUGAUGGUUUAAAAGUAUGUGGCACGUCCCCUGUCGCUCUCACUCUCUCUCUCCCCUGCUGCCAUGUGAAGCCCGCUCCUGUUUCCCCUUCACCUUCUGCCAUGCUUGUUAAGUUUCCUGAGGGCUCCCAGUCAUGCUUCCUAUAUAGCCUGUGGAACUGUGAGUCAAUUAAACCUCUUUUCUUCAUAAAUUACCCAGUCUCAGGUAAUUAUAGCAGUGUGAGAAUGUACUAACACUAAGAGACACCAUGCUCUUCUACUCCAAAACUUUUCUAAAAUCAUUGGCUUUGAUCCUGGAAGUUUAAAUAUCUCUCGCUACAUUUUUAAAGAAAUGCAUUGAGGAUGAAGUGAAGAUACAUGGAGCUUGUGGCUACUCACAUCUGUGAAGGGUGCACAAGAUAGAUGCUAGGAUGCAAAUCUGAGUCAAGGCAAUCGAUGUUUGUGAAAAUACCCACAUUCCUUUAUUAACUGCCUUUUUAUUUUGAGACAGAGUCUCGCUCUGUCACCCAGGCUGGAGUGCAGUGGCGCGAUCUUGGCUCACUGCAACCUCCACCUCCCAGGUUCAAGGGAUUCUUCUGCCUCAGCCUCCUGAGUAGCUCGGACUACAGGACUGUGCUACCACGCCUGGCUAAUUUUUGUAUUUUUGUAGAGAUGGGGCUUCAAUGUAGAGAUGGGGCUUCACUGUAGAGAUGGGGCUUCACCAUGAUGGCCAGGCUGGUCUCAAACUCCUGACCUCAAGUGAUCCUCCCACCCUGGCCUCCCAAAGUGCUGGGAUUAAAGGUGUGAGCCACGGCACCCAGCCAAUUAUCAACUUUAAAGCGACUUUGCUGACUCUCUAGCUUGAAAUAUCCUAGAACUCUGCUGUAAUACUUUAUUUCACUGAAGGUCUAAAUGCCAUCUGAAGCUUGUACCAUGCUGCUGCCUCAAAAUGCUUUGAAACGAACUUGCAUUGUGUUCAAAAAUAUUCACUUCUAUUAUUUAAUUGCCCUGAUGUAUGCUUCAUAUAUUACAACAGUGUUUGCUAUCCCCACUUGACAAAGGUUCCACUAAAACGACAGUACCGUUCUUCAGAAAUGUCUUAAAAGUCUCUGCAAGUCAAUUACGUACAAAAAACUAAAGAUUUUGUUUCAGAGACAAGACAAAAGGUGUUGAAGGGGAGGAGAUUUUUAGCUUGAAAACUUCAAGUAUGAUUCACUUUGAAGAGAAAUUCUUACUAGCUCACUCAUUUCCUCAGAAUUACUCACAGAAACAAGCACUUACCAACCAAGACAACGAGUCUGUAUUUUUCAUUAGUUUGUCGCCGAUACGGUGUCACUUCUUCGUAUGUGGGUACGUCAGCUGUGUCGUACUGAUCACUCUUCUUGCAUUCAUACAUGGAUUUAUUUGUUUUCUUAUCUUUUCUACUAAGACGAAAACUUUUUCUAAAACCAGCUGCAAAUAUUAAAAUAAAUAUAUUUUUAGUAACAUCAACCAAAAAAGAAACCCUCAAAAAAAAAAAACCCUCAGAGUUGGGUUGGAUUUUAUUUACCAUAAUAUUGGGUUUUUAAAGUUAAAACCCUAAUGUUUUAGAGACAGGGUCUCACUCUGUUGCCCAACCUGGAGAGCAGUGGCGCCAUCACAGCUUACUGCAGUGUUGAACUCCUGGGCUCAAGCGAUCCUCCCACCUCAGGCUCCCAGGCAGGUGGGAUUACAGGCACACAUCACCACGGCUGGUUAAUUUUUAAAAUACUUUGUAGAGACAGGGUCUUGCUACGUUGCCCAGGCUGGUUUGAACUGCUGGCCUCAAGCAAUCCCCCCAGUUUAGCUUCCCAAAGUGUUGGGAUUACAGGCAUGAGCCACUGUGCCUGGCCUAUUCAUCAUAAUAUUGUUAGAAAUGCAUUCAGUAAGAAAAAAAUAAUAGUACACAAUUUUAUAAAAACAAUAACUUAGAUUUAAUAUUUAUUUAUGUAGUUAUAAUAAUGUAAAUUUUAUUUGGUUUAAACAAUAAAGAGCUCUGUUGAAAAAUCAUUGAGUAAAAUAACUAUAAUAAAGCAAAAUAAGUCAAAAAUCAUAAUUUAUCAAGAACUGAUUGGUAAACACAUUUGAUAUGAAAAAGUUAAAAACACUGUAAAAGCAUUUUAAAUGUAAACAAUAAGUUCUCUCAUUCAUGAACAUGAACAAAGUUUCUAUUACAUCCUAAGCAUAACCUCACAACGUACCCAUGGCACAGGCAGCAUCUAUUGUUAAACAAAAAGAAAACUAAAUUAGGGAGUGUGUAGUGUAGCGUGUGCUUAUGCGUCAGUCAGGCUGACAGAACAAAGCUCACCCAGUCAACAAUUAGUUGAUCUUCAGCAAGUCAGUUAACUUUAACUGGACUCCAGGGGAUGGAAUAAAUCAUCAAGCCUCAGGUUCUUUUCUCUAAUGGAAAUUCUAUGCUUUCAUAAUGUGACACAUAUGAAAUUAAGAAAUAGAGCCAGCCACGGUGGCUCAUGCCUAUAAUCCCAGCACUUUGGGAAGCCAAGGAAGGAGGGCAGAUCGCUUGAGCCCAGGAGUUUAAGACCAGGUGGGGCAACAUGGAGAAACCCCAUCUCUACUAAAAAUACAAAAAAAUUAGCUAAGUGGUGGUGCACACAUGUAAUCUCAGC
rnacentral:lncRNA from 1 species